rnacentral:rRNA from 1 species
UACGUAGGGGGCUAGCGUUGUCCGGAUUUAUUGGGCGUAAAGCGUCCGCAGGUGGCAGUUCAAGUCUGCUGUCAAAGACCGGGGCUUAACUUCGGAAAGGCAGUGGAAACUGAACAGCUAGAGUAUGGUAGGGGCAGAGGGAAUUCCUGGUGUAGCGGUGAAAUGCGUAGAGAUCAGGAAGAACAUCGGUGGCGAAGGCGCUCUGCUGGACCAUAACUGACACUCAGGGACGAAAGCUAGGGGAGCGAAUGGG